rnacentral:rRNA from 33 species
GUUGACCUCGGAUCAGGUAGGGAUACCCGCUGAACUUAAGC